rnacentral:rRNA from 1 species
CUCCCAGACUCCUACGGGAGGCAGCAGUGGGGAAUAUUGCACAAUGGGGGAAACCCUGAUGCAGCGACGCCGCGUGAGCGAUGAAGUAUUUCGGUAUGUAAAGCUCUAUCAGCAGGGAAGAAAAUGACGGUACCUGACUAAGAAGCCCCGGCUAACUACGUGCCAGCAGCCGCGGUAAUACGUAGGGGGCAAGCGUUAUCCGGAUUUACUGGGUGUAAAGGGAGCGUAGACGGCAAUGCAAGCCAGAUGUGAAAGCCCGGGGCUCAACCCCGGGACUGCAUUUGGAACUGUGUAGCUGGAGUGUCGGAGAGGCAGGCGGAAUUCCUAGUGUAGCGGUGAAAUGCGUAGAUAUUAGGAGGAACACCAGUGGCGAAGGCGGCUUACUGGACUGUAACUGACGUUGAGGCUCGAAAGCGUGGGGAGCAAACAGGAUUAGAUACCCGGGUACA